rnacentral:rRNA from 1 species
UACGGAGGGUGCAAGCGUUAUCCGGAUUCACUGGGUUUAAAGGGUGCGUAGGUGGGUUGGUAAGUCAGUGGUGAAAUCCCCGAGCUUAACUUGGGAACUGCCAUUGAUACUAUUAAUCUUGAAUACCGUGGAGGUUAGCGGAAUAUGUCAUGUAGCGGUGAAAUGCUUAGAUAUGACAUAGAACACCAAUUGCGAAGGCAGCUGGCUACACGAAUAUUGACACUGAUGCGCGAAAGCGUGGGGAUCAAACAGG